CCGGAGGGGGCGCCCGCGGGGGCGCCGGCUGCCCCCAGAAACGCGCUCCAGAUGCGCGCGGCGCGGCCAGCAUUCCUGGAAGGCAUGGGCAUGUGCCCCAGGCUAGGCCAAUCAGAAUCUGCUGGGACAUCUGCCAGGAAUCACUCUUCAUCCCCUCUGGAGUUACUAGAUGUCAGCCAAGAACUGCUGGUGGCCAUCUCUGACAGCAUGUGAGGAGAACCUGACAAAGAAUGAAUCCCACACAGGAGAACGCAGAGCUGAGGAUGGAGAAAGUAAGAGCCUGGAGACAUCCGAUGAGCCCUGGAUCCAACAGUACCUGAAGCCAACAUCACCCUCAUCAGUCACAUGCUGUCUGCUAACUGGUCUUCUGGGCUCAAGAAUCUGUUCCCGCCAACCCCCCUCCUCUCCCAAUUGUGAAUCAGACACGACUGAGCUGCCCUCACGGUGUCUGUGCCUGCUACCCACAAUUCACGCGGUCCUCACAGGGCCUGGGAAGCUGCAAGAAUCAUCGCUAGGCGUGGACUGGAGGCAGGACACGGCUGUUACAGUCAGCACCUCCCGGCAUCUCAUGACGACCCCGGAUAGGCACGAUCAGCAUGCCCAUUUUAUAGGUGAGGGAGGACACCGAGGCUUGGGGAGCGUGAGCACCUCACCCGGGUCACACAGCUCGCUCAUGGAAGGGCAGGGAUUCAAACCCAGGCUUGGCUGACCUUAAAGCCAGGGCAUUAACUGCACUGACUCAGCAUUCCCAGAAGCUUCCGGCCGCAGGGCUCUGCCCUCCCCCUCCUGGCCAUCCUGCACACUGCUGCCCAAGAACAGUGCUUACAACCCUCCCCCUGCUCAACAACCUUCAAUGGCUCCCCAGCACCCACAGGAAAAGAACAAACCGAAUCUUUUGCAAAGCCCUCCCAUCCCUGACUCCUGACAUCACCUCUGUAAUCCACUUAUUCUUCACCGCGAGCCAAGUGACGGGGCUCCCUGAGAGCCUGGACUACACAUUGCCUGCUCCAGCAGGCCAGGCCCAUGCCCACCACAGGGCCUUUGCGUGUGCCGUUCCCUCCACCUGGAAGCCACUCUCCUCACCGCCACCUCCUCAGAGAGGCCAUCCUGGCCCUCCCAGAGGCAGCGCUCCCCCACACCCCUCUCCUGAAAUACUUUCUCCAUCCCGCUUCUCACUACCCAGCACGACAUUCUCUCAGCACUGAUUUCUGCUGAGUGUGUGAUGCCCCGAUUAGACUGUGAGCCUGCGAGGGCGGGACCUUCCUGUCCUGUUUACUGUGUCCUGUGUCCCCGGUGCCCACACGCAGCCAGUGUUCAGGAAAUGUGGAGUGGGUGAGUGAGUGAAUCUCCACCUCCCAGAGUCAGCACAUGGCUGGCACAGAUCCUCUCCAGCUCUCAAGAUUAUCCUCAGGUGGCCAGCCCCACCCUACUCUGGCCCCAACCUCCAAGACCCUCCCCAUUACUCUCCCCGACGCUCGUCUACUGCGUAGACUUCCCCACACCUGCCUAUGCGGUUCCUGCUCCCUCAGUCACCCCUUCUCCCUCACCUACCCAGCCAACUCCUACACACCCCUCAAGAGCCCCUUCAAGUAUUGCCUCCCUUCCAAGGCAGAGCUGAUCACGCCCCCUUUGACACCCUCUGUCCCAUGGACAUACCCAUUGUGAGGUCCGCAUGCGCUUGCCUCCACUGGACACAGUGCCUGCACACAGCAGGCGCUCACGACACCAUUACAGGGUAACCGACCAGCUCCUCUCAGUUCCUCCACAGUGUAUGGCCUGCCCGACUGGACUGGGACUCGCUGAGGGCAGGGGCUGUUUUGUUCAUUAUGUUCAUUAUGUCCUCACUGAAAAAUCCAAUGCCUGUCGGACGCAUGGACAGACCAACGGACAGAUGAACGGGCAGAUAGAGGAUGACUGAAAGGAAGGAAAAAUGGAUGCAUGGAUGGAUGGAUUGGUGGACAGAUGCCCAGAA